UACGGGGGGAGCAAGCGUUGUUCGGAUUUACUGGGCGUAAAGGGCGCGUAGGCGGUCAGCACAAGUCAGUUGUGAAAUCUCCGGGCUUAACUCGGAAAGGUCAACUGAUACUGUGCGACUAGAGUGCGGAAGGGGCAACUGGAAUUCUUGGUGUAGCGGUGAAAUGCGUAGAUAUUGGGAGGAACACCAGUGGCGAAGGCGGCUCACUGGACCGGAACUGACGCUGAGGCGCGAAAGCGUGGGGAGCAAACAGG
rnacentral:rRNA from 1 species